GAUGAACGCUGACAGAAUGCUUAACACAUGCAAGUCUACUUGAACUUCGGUUUGGGUGGCGGACGGGUGAGUAACGCGUAAAGAACUUGCCUCACAGUUAGGGACAACAUUUGGAAACGAAUGCUAAUACCUGAUAUUAUGAUUUUAGGGCAUCCUAAAAUUAUGAAAGCUAUAUGCGCUGUGAGAGAGCUUUGCGUCCCAUUAGCUAGUUGGAGAGGUAACGGCUCACCAAGGCGAUGAUGGGUAGCCGGCCUGAGAGGGUGAACGGCCACAAGGGGACUGAGACACGGCCCUUACUCCUACGGGAGGCAACAGUGGGGAAUAUUGGACAAUGGACCAAAAGUCUGAUCCAGCAAUUCUGUGUGCACGAUGACGUUUUUCGGAAUGUAAAGUGCUUUCAGUUGGGAAGAAAAAAAUGACGGUACCAACAGAAGAAGUGACGGCUAAAUACGUG
rnacentral:rRNA from 1 species